AUUGAACGCUGGCGGCAGGCCUAACACAUGCAAGUCGAACGGUAACAGGAAGAAGCUUGCUUCUUUGCUGACGAGUGGCGGACGGGUGAGUCAUGUCUGGGAAACUGCCUGAUGGAGGGGGAUAACUACUGGAAACGGUAGCUAAUACCGCAUAACGUCGCAAGACCAAAAAGGGGGACCUUCGGGCCUCUUGCCAUCGGCUUUGCCCAGAUGGGAUUAGCUAGUAGGUGGGGUAACGGCUCACCUAGGCGACGAUCCCUAGCUGGUCUGAGAGGAUGACCAGCCACACUGGAACUGAGACACGGUCCAGACUCCUACGGGAGGCAGCAGUGGGGAAUAUUGCACAAUGGGCGCAAGCCUGAUGCAGCCAUGCCGCGUGUAUGAAGAAGGCCUUCGGGUUGUAAAGUACUUUCAGCGGGGAGGAAGGGAGUAAAGUUAAUACCUUUGCUCAUUGACGUUGCCCGCAGAAGAAGCACCGGCUAACUCCGUG
rnacentral:rRNA from 1 species